UACGUAGGGUGCAAGCGUUGUCCGGAAUUAUUGGGCGUAAAGAGCUUGUAGGCGGUUUGUCGCGUCUGCUGUGAAAUUUCGGGGCUCAACCCCGAACUUGCAGUGGGUACGGGCAGACUAGAGUGUGGUAGGGGAGACUGGAAUUCCUGGUGUAGCGGUGAAAUGCGCAGAUAUCAGGAGGAACACCGAUGGCGAAGGCAGGUCUCUGGGCAUUAACUGACGCUGAGGAGCGAAAGCAUGGGGAGCGAA
rnacentral:rRNA from 1 species